rnacentral:rRNA from 1 species
AGAGUUUGAUCAUGGCUCAGAACGAACGCUGGCGGCAGGCCUAACACAUGCAAGUCGAGCGCCCGCAAGGGAGCGGCAGACGGGUGAGUAACGCGUGGGAACGUGCCCUUUGGUUCGGAAUAUUCCCGGGAAACUGGGAGCAAAACCGGAUAAGCCCUUCGGGGGAAAGUUUACGCCAAAGGAUCGGCCCGCGUUAGAUUAGGUAGUUGGUGGGGUAACGGCCUACCAAGCCUACGAUCUAUAGCUGAUCUGAGAGGAUGAUCAGCCACACUGGGACUGAGACACGGCCCAGACUCCUACGGGAGGCAGCAGUGGGGAAUCUUGGACAAUGGGCGCAAGCCUGAUCCAGCCAUGCCGCGUGGAUGACUGAAGGCCCUAGGGUUGUAAAGUCCUUUCGACGGGGACGAUAAUGACGGUACCCGUAGAAGAAGCCCCGGCUAACUUCGUGCCAGCAGCCGCGGUAAUACGAAGGGGGCUAGCGUUGUUCGGAUUUACUGGGCGUAAAGGGCGCGUAGGCGGAUUUUUAAGUCGGGGGUGAAAUCCCGGAGCUCAACUCCGGAACUGCCUUCGAUACUGGAAGUCUGGAGCACGGUAGAGGUGAGUGGAAUUCCGAGUGUAGAGGUGAAAUUCGUAGAUAUUCGGAGGAACACCAGUGGCGAAGGCGGCUCACUGGACCGUUGCUGACGCUGAGGCGCGAAAGCGUGGGGAGCAAACAGGAUUAGAUACCCCGGUAGU